ACCACCAAAAUUAACUUCACACCAUAGAUAAUUUAACAUUAAUUAAACCAGGAAACUAAAUCAUUUUUCCACCUUAGUACGGGAGACGGAAAAGGUAAUAUUAAGCAAUAGAGAAAGUACCGCAAGGGAAAGCUGAAAGAGUAAUGAAAUAAUUCAUAUAAGCACAAAAAAGCAGAGCCUAGCCCUCGUACCUUUUGCAUCAUGAUUUAGCCAGCACCACCCAAGCAAAGCGACCUUUAGUUUGAGAUCCCGAAACCAAGUGAGCUACCCCGGGACAGCCUGUUUGGGCGAACCCGUCUCUGUGGCAAAAGAGUGGGAAGAGCCCCGGGUAGAGGUGAUAAACCUACCGAACUUGGUGAUAGCUGGUUGCCUAAGAAAUGAAUAGAAGUUCAGCCUCGUACCCCUUUAGCCAACCAGGAAAUAUCUAAGUAAGCAUGAGAGAGAAAUACGAGAGUUAGUUAAAGGGGGUACAGCCCCUUUAAUAAAGGACACAACCUUAAAUAGGAGGAUAAGAGUCACAUUUUAUAAAACUAGUCGUUCCAGUGGGCCUAAAAGCAGCCAUCUGAAUAGAAAGCGUUAAAGCUCAAACGACAUGCAGUUUAUUAUACUGAUAAAUAGCCCAACUCCCCUAAAAAUAUUAGGCCGUUCCAUGCCACCAUGGAAGAGACCAUGCUAGAAUGAGUAAUAAGAGGGUGCGACCCUCUCCUAGCACGAGUGUAAGCCAGAUCGGACAAACCACUGGAAAUUAACGAACCCAUAAAAAGAGGGUAAUGUGUUUACUAAAGAAUUCAAGAAAACGACACAACAUUCACAUCGUUAAACCCACACUGGAGUGCAUCAAGGAAAGACUAAAAGAAAGGGAAGGAACUCGGCAAACACAAGCCUCGCCUGUUUACCAAAAACAUCGCCUCCUGCAAACCCCUACGUAUAGGAGGUCCAGCCUGCCCGGUGACUACAAGUUUAACGGCCGCGGUAUUUUGACCGUGCAAAGGUAGCGCAAUCACUUGUCUUUUAAAUGAAGACCUGUAUGAAUGGCUAAACGAGGGCUUAACUGUCUCCCUUUUCAGGUCAGUGAAAUUGAUCUACCCGUGCAG
rnacentral:rRNA from 1 species